CACCGCCCGUUGCUACUACUGUAUGAAUGGCUUAGUGAGGUCAUUGGAUCAUGUCGUUGUAGUGGCUUUGCCGCUCGACUGAUGGUGAGAUGAACUAAUUUGACUAUUUAGAGGAAGUAAAAGUCGUAAUAAGGUUUCCGUAGGUGAACCUGUGGAAG
rnacentral:ncRNA from 1 species